UACGUAGGGUGCAAGCGUUAAUCGGAAUCACUGGGCGUAAAGCGCACGUAGGCGGACUCUUAAGUCGGUGGUGAAAUCCUGGAGCUCAACUCCAGAACUGCCUUCGAUACUGAGAGUCUUGAGUCCGGGAGAGGUGAGUGGAACUGCGAGUGUAGAGGUGAAAUUCGUAGAUAUUCGCAAGAACACCAGUGGCGAAGGCGGCUCACUGGCCCGGUACUGACGCUGAGGUGCGAAAGCGUGGGGAGCAAACAGG
rnacentral:rRNA from 1 species